rnacentral:rRNA from 1 species
AUUGAACGCUGGCGGCAGGCCUAACACAUGCAAGUCGAACGGUAACAGGAAGCAGCUUGCUGCUUCGCUGACGAGUGGCGGACGGGUGAGUAAUGUCUGGGAAGCUGCCUGAUGGAGGGGGAUAACUACUGGAAACGGUAGCUAAUACCGCAUAAUGUCGCAAGACCAAAGAGGGGGACCUUCGGGCCUCUUGCCAUCGGAUGUGCCCAGAUGGGAUUAGCUUGUUGGUGGGGUAACGGCUCACCAAGUCGACGAUCCCUAGCUGGUCUGAGAGGAUGACCAGCCACACUGGGACUGAGACACGGUCCAGACUCCUACGGGAGGCAGCAGUGGGGAAUAUUGCACAAUGGGCGCAAGCCUGAUGCAGCCAUGCCGCGUGUAUGAAGAAGGCCUUCGGGUUGUAAAGUACUUUCAGCGGGGAGGAAGGGAGUAAAGUUAAUACCUUUGCUCAUUGACGUUACCCGCAGAAGAAGCACCGGCUAACUCCGUG